rnacentral:rRNA from 1 species
CACGUGGGCGGCGUAUCAAAUCAGAGGUGAAAGGCCUGGGCUCAACCUAGGAACGGCCUUUGAUACUGGUAUGCUUGAGUUCGGAAGAGGGUAGUGGAAUUCCAAGUGUAGAGGUGAAAUUCGUAGAUAUUUGGAAGAACACCGGUGGCGAAGGCGGCUACCUGGUCCGAUACUGACGCUGAGGUGCGAAAGCGUGGGGAGCGAACA